ACGAACGCUGGCGGCGUGCUUAACACAUGCAAGUCGAACGGUGAAGGUGGAGCUUGCUCUGCUGGAUCAGUGGCGAACGGGUGAGUAACACGUGAGCAAUCUGCCCCGAACUCUGGGAUAACCACGGGAAACCGUGGCUAAUACUGGAUAUGUCGAGUGACCGCAUGGUCUGCUCGUGGAAAGAUUUUUCGGUUCGGGAUGAGCUCGCGGCCUAUCAGCUUGUUGGUGAGGUAAUGGCUCACCAAGGCGACGACGGGUAGCCGGCCUGAGAGGGUGACCGGCCACACUGGGACUGAGACACGGCCCAGACUCCUACGGGAGGCAGCAGUGGGGAAUAUUGCACAAUGGGCGCAAGCCUGAUGCAGCAACGCCGCGUGAGGGAUGACGGCCUUCGGGUUGUAAACCUCUUUUAGUAGGGAAGAAGCGAAAGUGACGGUACCUGCAGAAAAAGCACCGGCUAACUACGUGCCAGCAGCCGCGGUAAUACGUAGGGUGCAAGCGUUGUCCGGAAUUAUUGGGCGUAAAGAGCUCGUAGGCGGUUUGUCGCGUCUGCUGUGAAAUCCCGAGGCUCAACCUCGGGCCUGCAGUGGGUACGGGCAGACUAGAGUGCGGUAGGGGAGAAUGGAACUCCUGGUGUAGCGGUGGAAUGCGCAGAUAUCAGGAAGAACACCGAUGGCGAAGGCAGUUCUCUGGGCCGUAACUGACGCUGAGGAGCGAAAGCGUGGGGAGCGAACAGGAUUAGAUACCCUGGUAGUCCACGCCGUAAACGUUNNNNGCUAGAUGUGGGGACCAUUCCACGGUUUCCGUGUCGCAGCUAACGCAUAAG
rnacentral:rRNA from 1 species